GCGACACUAGCUCAGUUGGUAGAGCGCAACCUUGCCAAGGUUGAGGGUUCGAGUUCGAACCUCGUGUGUCGCUCCA
rnacentral:tRNA from 1 species